UCUGUUAUUGUUUGUUACAGGCGGUUGGAGAACUAUUUGGGAGAUUAGUAAGUAGCAGGUGCUGUUAGAAAUAAUUGUUUCUGAACUGAUUUGGAAAUGUGCAGUUAUGGUGAGCUGAAUCAGAUUUUGAUGUCUUGUGCAGGGUUAUUGUAUUGGUUCUAAUGUGUAUGGACUAGUAUGUGAAGCUGGGUAUGAAAGGCAGCAGGUCGGUUCAAGGAUCAUGGGGAGAAAGGAGGUUUGGACAUCGGUGAUGCUCAUGGGAUACCAGUGAAUUGUUAGUGACGAAGAUGGGAGCAGGGGUAUGGCUUGAAGAUAACAUGAAGGAAGCCAACGUUUUAGAACUUUAGGAUGAGGAUUAGAUUCUAGUUGUGUAAAUUUCCUUUUAUAAUGUACUUGGUCCUUGGAUAUGAACUGAAUUCAUUUUGUAAAUGUGUGGACUUGGAAUGUUGUAAUGGAGAUCUUUUUCUUCCAAAUGAAUGCAACUAUUAUUCUCUUC